rnacentral:lncRNA from 1 species
GGCCCUCCCGUGUCAUUGCAGGUCUGUGUGGGUCUGUCUGUCCAUCCCUGUGUGUCCCCAGGUGUCCCUGAGUGUCCUCUCGGAUGUCCCCAGGUGUCCCUGAGUGUCCCCUCGGAUGUCCCCAGGUGUCCCUGGGUGUCCCCUCGGGUGUCCCCAGGUGGCACCGAGUGUCAGCGGGGUCUUUGUCGCCCUCCUGUGGCCCUCCCGUGUCAUUGCAAGUGUGUGUGGGUCUGUCUGUCCAUCCCUGGGUGGGGUCUCUGUCUGUCCAUCCCUGGGUGGGGUCUCUGUCUGUCCAUUCCUGGGUGUCCCCAGGUGUCCCUGAGUGUCCUCUCAGAUGUCCCCAGGUGUCCCUGAGUGUCACCGGGGUCACUGUGGCAUCGCUGUGUCCCCCCUGA